rnacentral:tRNA from 1 species
GGCAGGAUGGCGGAGUGGUCUAAGGCGCUGCGUUCAGGUCGCAGUCUCCCCUGGAGGCGCGGGUUCGAAUCCCGCUCCUGUCA